rnacentral:rRNA from 1 species
AUGGCUACCUCCGGCGAGCACGACGCUGCACCGACGCGUCUGGAGACCAACCAUGACAAGAGCAAGUGCCAGCAGCAGUUCGACAACUACAAGGAGUGCAAGAAGAGAGAGUUCCCGGUUACGGUGGGAGGUCGGGGGCCAAGCGAUGCGCGUUUCUCUCGUACACGUACGCGCGUGUCUGCGAGGCGUUGGCUCUAA